CCUACGGGAGGCAGCAGUGGGGAAUUGUUCGCAAUGGGCGCAAGCCUGACGACGCAACGCCGCGUGGAGGAUGAAGGUCUUCGGAUUGUAAACUCCUGUUGCUAGGGACGAAUGGCUCCGACCUAACACGUCGGAGUGUGACGGUACCUGGUGAGGAAGCCCCGGCUAACUCUGUGCCAGCAGCCGCGGUAAU
rnacentral:rRNA from 1 species